rnacentral:lncRNA from 1 species
AGAAUUGCUUGAGCCUGGGAAGCGGAGGUUGUAGUGAGCCAAGACCGUGCCACUGCACUCCAGCCUGGCCAACAGAGCAAGACUACGUCUCAAAAAAAAAAAAAAAAGAAAAAAAGAUAAACUGCUUUGUGACAGACACCUUCAAGGGAAUAAAGACAGAAGCCACAGACUAAGAGAAAAUAUUUGCAAAACAUUUAUCUGUUAAAGGACUGUUUAUUUGUAGUAUAUUUAAAUAUCCAAAAUAUAUAAGGAACUCUUAAAACUCAACAAUGAGAAAACAACCAUCCCUAUUAAAAAAUAGGCUAAAGACCUUAGCAGACAUUUCACCAGAUAUACAGAUGUCACAUAAGCAUAUGAGAAGAUCUGCAACAUCAUACAUCAUCAGAGAAAGGCAAAUUAAAAUAAUAGUGAGAUACCAUUACACACCUAUCAUGACUACCUAAAUUCAGAACACUGACAACAUCAAAUGCUGACAAGAAUGUGGAGCAACAGGAACUCUCAUUCAGUGCUGGUGGGUAUGCAAAAUGGUACAGCUACUUUGGAAGACAGUAUGGUGGUUUCCUGCCAAACUAAAUAUAUCCUUACCAUAUGUCCCAGUGACUGUGCUCCUUGGUAUCACCCAAAGGAGUUGAAAACUUAGGUCCACACACAAAAAAAACCUGUACAUAGAUGUUUAUAGCAACUUUAUUCACAGUUGGCAGAACUUGGAAGUAACCAAGAUGCCCAUCAGUGGGUGAAUGGAUAAACAGUCGUAUAUCCAGACAAUGGAAUAUUAUUCAGUGCUAAAAAGAAAUGAGCUAUCAAGCCAUGACAAGAUAUGUAGAAAACUUAAAUGCAUAUUACUAAGUGAAAGAAGCCAGUCUGAGAAGGCUACAUACUGUAUAAUUCCAACUAUAUGAUAUUUUGGAAAAGGCAAAACUAUAGAGAGUAAAAAGAUCAGUGGUUGCCAAGAGCUAGGGGAAAGGGAGGGAUGAAUAGGCAGGGCACAGAGGAUUUUUAGGGCAGUGAAACUAUUCUAUAUUACACUAUAAUACUAGAUACAUGUCACUAUAAAUUUGCCCAAACUCAUAGAAUGUACAAUAAGAGUGAACCCUAAGGUAAACUAUGGACUCUGGGUAAUCAUGAUGUGUCAAUGCAGGUUCAUCCACUGUAACGAGUGUACUACUCUGUGGGGAUGUUGAUAAUGGCGAAUGCUAUGUAUAUAUGCGUGCAGGGAGUAUAUGGGAAAUCUCUGUACCUGUUGCUCAAUUUUGCUGUGAACCUAAAACUGUUCUAAAAACUAAGUCUAUUUUUUUUUUAAAAAAGGAUAACAAACUUGCCCAAGCCCUUAUUUAAAAGAGUCAUAAAGGUAAAAUAACAAUGGUAUUGGCUGAAGAUACAGAAAAGACACUGGAACAGAUGAGCGACCCCAGGUCAACACUGCUCUAAAGACAAUGUAGUACUAGAAUUAGAGAUGUUUAAGCCCAAGCAGCAAGUACAAGCUAAUCUUCCUAAAUUUUAUGGCGUUCCAGAAAACUGACUGGGGAACUGAGUCUUGAUUAACUCAUCCCAAGGUAAAAUUCAUUCAUAGGAUCAUCUGACUUCUAUCCAUGAGUUCAACACGGAAAAUAUUGCAAAGCUCUGAUGCUCCACUCAGGUGCAGAAUAAACGCUCCCAAUUCAAUGUGAGCAGCUCUUUCCUCUGGGGAUACAUGAGAGUGAGACGUGGGACUUGAUACUCUGCCAUAAUGGAAGCAAAGAGAAGAGAAAUAGGGAUGGAAGAGGAGGGAAGAAAGGGAGACAGGGGAGGGUACAGAUUAAGAUAAAAAGAGAACAGAAGGGAUGGUGAAAGUAUGAAUGGAAACAUGGAGAUUAGGAAGAAACAGAGGUAGGGAAGAAUAUCUCUAUGGUAGAAUAAAACCAGGCCUUUUUCUUACUGCUCAGAGUAAUUCUGAAGGCUAAAACUGAGAAGGCCAGUAACAAAAAUGAAGUGACAAUGGCCCAGAGAGAGAACUCAAGAGGGUUACUCUACUCAGCAAAGAAAGGCAGCCCUUAGAAUGCCCCUGAGCGAAUGGAUGGAGCCACAUUACGUAACUCACUCACUUCUCUGCCUUUCAUCUUUGUCAAUGGCCAUAAACCCGCAAUUUCACUAAACGCAAUUCCCAUUUCAGAGAGUCUUUAAAGCAAGCGGCACUGCCUCACAAACCCAUGAAAAUAGGUCCUUUUCACUCUCUUAUCUUGAAUCUCAAAAAAACAUACUCUUGCUAUGAACAGAUAUGGACUUCUUUGAGUUUUUAAGAGCCAAUUAUAGCACAUCGCAACUAGUGUACCCUGUAAUACUGUCUCCAAAGAGGGCUCUCCAGCAGAUGCAGGGGGUCCCCAUGAUACAAAGGGCUGUGUUCUAAAAGUUCCUGUGUAAGGUGGUUGUCUAGUGCUUAGAACAUAUUUUCAUGGAGAGGAAAAUAAAACAGCAAUGAAUGGCUAGAAAGAGACCCGGUCUAGUCCAAACAGUCUCCUUAACCAUGUGUCUGAACUAUGUGACUGAAGAGUGCUCUCGGAUCUGGGAGCCAUAGUGCAGUGCAAGGGGGAGAAAAAGGAAAAGGAGACGGAAAACUCUCCGGCUACCUCCUGGAUGGGAGGUGUCACUAGCCAUUUCUUGAGGCCCCCAACAAGAUAUAAGGUAAAAAUCCUCAUUUGAGAGAAACUGCACUGCUCACUGACACCCGCUAUUUUUGCAAAUUCACUCAGUGGCUCACAGAAACACUUGACAGAGUGCUGAGUGGCAUGGAUUUGGGAAGGAUGCAGGGCAGCAAACAAGCAAGCUGGAGAGGGCAGCGGGAUGGGGGCCCAAGAGGCUAAAUCGGAGGUUCUCAAAUGUUCUCAGUCCAUGUCACUCUGGCGUCUCAGGUAUUUUUUUCAUUAUACUUCUAGGCAGAGAGGAAUACCUAACAGUUCCAUGAGUUAAAUAGGUAGAUCCAAACAACUCAAUAAAUAUUUACGUCCUAACAACUUAGUAACUAUUUGAAAAGAAAAAGAUAUAAAUUGAUGAGAAGGUGGUAUUUUUAUUUCAUUCUUAUAUAGCCAAAAUUUUCAAUGAGACCUAUGUGCUGCUGGGCACUAUGCAGCUUUUCUAACUUUGGAAUUAGAUGGGAUUCUGCCACCCCAUUUCCUGCUUCACAUUGAUUUUUAUACCACACUGGCUAUUUAUCACAGCAUCCCCUGAAAGCCCAGCUUUUCACAGAUAUGACUUCACCGAAAGGAAUGUAGUGAUCUAGUGUUAAAACUAUGAACUACCUUAAGCCCGUAGUUCACAUGGUAGCUGACAGAUGUUGAUUGUUUCAGUGUUUGCCUCAAAAAAAAAAAAAAAAAAAAAAAUCCCACAGCCUCUCCAUGAAUUCACUGUGGCACCCCAGGGUGCCUUCAGAGAAUAGUUUGGAAAAAGGCAAGGCUAGAAUGUUUCCAGUGCAACCAAUCAGGAGUAUCCUUUCUGGUUUACAUUUCACAGUAAGAAAAAUGUAACCCACACUGAAAUGGCCAUGGGCUUGACCUCUGAAGUAACCUCUGCCCUGCCCUUUUAAAAGUGUUCCACAUUCAAUUCACAGCAUCCUUUGGGUAAGUGAUAAACUUCUCAGUGGCUCACAGACAUAUUCUGCAGACUCUGGGACAGAGAGGACAGGUGAUUCUGUGUUGAUGGGUGAGAUCACGUUUUUAAAAACGACUUCACUCUACAGUAUAAUGUAGACAAUUAUUAAGAACUAUUAUGGUUUAGAUGUUUUUCAUUAAUUGACAUGUGAGAUAAAUGUUGAACCAAAUACAGACUAACAGAGAAAGAAGAUGCCAGGUGUAUGUUUUAUUGAUAAUCAUAUAAUUUUGCCCCUGGCAAGACUAAAAGAAAAAUAAAGUCUAAGACAAGCAAAGAUUGCAUUGAGGCCAAAAAAAAAGGAGGAAAUUCAGGUUUGUCAAUUCAUUCAUUCAUUCAUUCAUCCAUUCAUUCUACAGAUGUUUUAAAGUUUCUGUCAUUUUCCAAAUACUGUAUGUCACCAGAGACACAGAAGUGAAAAAGCCAGCCACAACAUGGCCUUUGAACUCCUGUCAAGGAAAAUGAGCCACCUGGCUCAAGAAGAAAAAAAAAAAUCUUUGCUUCAAGCUUCCAGUAUCUGACUAUGCAGGAUGGAUGAAGUGCCUCCAAUGGACCCCUCUCAGUCUGACAUAGCUCUAAGAAAAUUUUCUGAGACCCUAUCGCUGAAUUCAAACCCAGCUCCAGACAAAAGAACCAUCACCACAAGUUCAGAGAUGCAAUAGUGACUUUGUUUCUUUCUUCUCCUAUAAUUAGGAACAAACCAUCUGUGCACCCUAUUAAGGUACCACUGGUUCUUACUGCCCACCCUCUUCAGCAUACACAAAUAUAGGCCUACAUUUUACACAUGCAUGCGCGUGUACACACACACACACACACACACACACACACACACACUUUCCUUAGCAACCUCAUGCUUCUGGACUGUGUACAGAAUGAAUGACAGCCACUAUGAUAAUGAUACAUAGUUAUUUUACUCCAAAAUAUGAUAAAUAGUAAAAGCUAUCCUGAUGCAAUUCAAAGAUUAGAAGUUACUUGGAAAACAAACUAUGCAUCUGCAUUCAACUUCACUACUGAACAGGAGCCAAAACUAUUCUUUUCUUCUAAAUUUACCUGCUGAUAAGUGCUACAUGCUGUGAUAUAACCCGUUUAUGGAAAUACUUCAUAGACUCAAUUCUUUCCUAAAAAUCAAGACUUGGAAAAUGUUGGUUUGAGAAAAGAAUCAGGAAGCAAAAUGGAGAAUGCAUGAGCGUAAAGGAAGCCACAUUGGAAGUGCAAGAAAAUAUAAAUGAUUAAAAAGCAGAAGUGAAAAAAAAAUAACCACGGAUUUUGCCCCAACCUUCUUUAGAAAAGGCUUACAAGCAAUGACAUCCCACAGUCAACAAGAACACCCUUUCAGCCAGUUUUCCAGAUAUUCCCCACUAAGAGGGACUUGAGCUUCUUGGGAAAAUGCAUGAUUCCAG